rnacentral:lncRNA from 1 species
ACAGAACAAGUGUCUUGGUUCACAGCAAAGAGGACAAAGAAAACAGCAAGUUUUAGGGGGUUGAAUCCUGGAUUCCCCUGGCAAACACCAUUCUACUUUCCGUCUCUAUGAAUUUGACUACUCGAAGUACCUCAUGUGAAAUGUUGGUGCCAAAUGAACUUUUCUGGUUCUUCUGAAUAUGCCACUGUUGCUGGAGAAAUGUCACUGCUAGAGAACAGAAGACUAUUAUUCCAAAGGGUAUUUGAGACUGACUGAAUCAGGUCUGGAACAUUAUUGAAAUGAGGAUGAAGAGAUCCUCCUAGCUUGGCGGAAUACUCUGCUCUGAUGGAAGUACCAUCCUGGUCCAAACAUGAAAGAAUUCCCAACAUCAAGAUUGAUUGAAACAUAUUCAAUGGGUGGUGACCAGAUGGAUAUAAACGGGCUGUGGAAAAAGAGAAUGCAUGGCCAAAAAUGGUGGUGCUCUCUGUCCAAAAACUGAGGCCCUAUGACCAUGAAUGAAGCCAGAGGGCAGGUAGGAAUAGAUCAUUUGCUCCAGAAGAAGCUGGUUGCCAUGUCUUGAGGACAGUAAACCCUCUGGGGAGGUUCCUGUGGUAAGGAACAAGGGCUCCUGGCAAUAGCCUCUGAGUGAGCCACCUUGAAAAUGGAUUGUCCAGCCCCAGUCAAGCUUUCAGAUGACUGUAGCUCCUGCCAAUGUCUUCACCACAACCUCAUGAGAUCCCAAGCUACAACCACUCAGAACUUCAUCUUUUGGGAAGCACCAGGGAGAGCUGCCUGUGCCUGGCAGAAGCUGCCCAUGCCCCACUGAUACCCCACAGUACUUCCUGUUCUGCUUAGUACUCCUGCUUCUUUCUACAAACAACUGUGAUUCUCUACCUGGGAGCUUCCUCUGGCCACAGGAGCCUGCUCACCUGAUUGGGACACCCUAGCAGUACUGGCUCAUAGAUGGAAGGGACUUGCCUUGUCGCUGAUGAGACUUUCGACUUGGACUUUUGAGUCAAUGCUGGAAUGAGUUAAGACUUUGGGGAACUGUUGGAAGGGUGUGAUUGUGUUUUGAAUUGUGAGGACAUGAGAUUUUGAAGAGGCUAAUGGCAGCGUCCCCACCUAAAUCUCUUCUUGAAUUGUAGUUCCCAUAAUCCCCACGUGUCGUGGGGUGGAGCCGGUGGAGAUAAUUGAAUCAUGGGAACACUUUCCCCCAUGCUGUUAUUGUGAUUGUGAAUUCUCACGAGAUCUGAUGGUUGUAUAAACGCCUUCCCUCUUCGCUGGGCACUCAUUUUUCUCCUUCCUGCCACCAUGUGAAGAAGGAUAUGCUUGCUUCUUGUGCCAUGAUUGUAAGUUUCCUGAGGCCUCCCCAGCCAUGCUGAACUGUGAGUCAAUUGAACCUCUUUCCUUUAUAAAUUACCUAGUCUUGGAUAUGUUUUUAUUAGCAGUGUGAGACAGGACUAAUACACAAAGGAUUUGAAAUCACAAAGGAGCUGUUUUCUGCUCCACCAUGGAAGUCUCACAUGCAUCACAUCUAUUCAUAUCCAUUUGCCACAACUAGACAAAAAGUCCUUUUUAAAAUCUGCCUAGAGAUCAGGAAGUAUUAUCUCUGGAUGCCUAGGCAGGAGAGGUGAAUCAGAUAUUGGUGGGCACUAGUGUGUUCUAUGAUACAUAGCUUAAUAAAAAUAAGUUUCAGAUAAAUCUAAAUAUACAUUAGAAUACUGUAACCACAGUAGAAAAAAAUAUUGGCUCCUUUUUGUGAUAAACUAAUGAUGGUAAAUGCACCCUAUUUAAGCAAGAAAAGAAACUGAUCUGCCAUAAAGAAAACAAUGACAUAUUUAACUACAAAAUAUGUUACAAAAUAUUAAUAUCCCUAAUGGACAAAUGAGUUCCAAUAAAUGGAUAACAAAAAACCAAUAAGUCUGUAGAAAAAUGGAGAAAAUAUAUUUGCAGAAUAUUUAUACAGGUGGUAAUGAAAUUGACAAUGAUGUUUAUCAUCAGCAGUAAACAGUAAAAAGUUUCACCCACCAGGACUAUAGAAAUUUUUCAAAUGGAUAAUUUUCAGAAUCAGCAAAGUUAUAGAAAAGUAGGUACCAGUUGCACAUACCAUUGGAGGAAAUGUAAAAUAUAGUUACCUUGUGGAAAGUAAUCUGAUGUAAUAUAUUAAAAUUUUAUCCAUGUAUGUCCUAUAAUUCAGCAAUUCCAUGUUGGGGAAUCCAUACAAAGAAAUACUUAUACACAUGCAGAAGGAGCUAAGUUUAAGAAAGCACACAUUUCAGCGGGUUGUGGUGUCUCACCCCUGUAAUCCCAGCACAUUGGGAGGCCGAGGUUGGUGGAUCACCUGAGGUCAGGAGUUUGAGACCAGCCUGGCCAACAUGGUGAAACCCUGUCUCUACUAAAAAUACAAAAAAUUAGCUGGUGUGGCAGUGGGUGCCUGCAGCUACUCAGGAGGCUGAGGCAGGAGAAUCGCUUGAACCUGGGAGGUGGAGGUUGCAGUGAGCUGAGAUCACACCACUG